ensembl:lncRNA
UGAGGAUACCAUCAACACCACAGGCCUUUUUGGGUUGGAGGGUUUUUAUUUUGUCCUGUAACUCAUUCAAUGUAAUUGGAGAAUCCAGUGGGUUCUGGUAGUCUUUAAUAGUUGAUUCUAAGAUCUGUAUUUGAUCAUGUAUAUGUUUUUGAUCUUUAUUCUUUGUUAUAGAGCCAAAAAGAUUGGAGAAGUGGUUUACCCAUACAUCUCCAUUUUGGAUAGAUAAUUCUUCGUGUUGUUGUUUGUUUAGUGUUUUCCAAUUUUCCCAGAAGUGGUUAGAGUCUAUGGAUUCUUCAAUUCAAUUCUUCAAUCUUCAUCUCUCUCUCUCUCUCUCUCUCUCUCUCACUCUCUAUGUAUAGCUGUGUCUCCAUCUCCAUCUCUCUCUCUCUCACUCUCUAUGUAUAGCUGUGUCUCCAUCUCCAUCUCUCUCUCUCUCUCUCUCUAUGUAUAGCUGUGUCUCCAUCUCCAUCUCUCUCUCUCUCACUCUCUAUGUAUAGCUGUGUCUCCAUCUCCAUCUCUCUCUCUCUCACUCUCUAUGUAUAGCUGUGUCUCCAUCUCCAUCUCUCUCUCUCUCUCUCUAUGUAUAGCUGUGUCUCCAUCUCCAUCUCUCUCUCUCUCACUCUCUAUGUAUAGCUGUGUCUCCAUCUCCAUCUCUUUCUCUCUCUCUCUCUCUCUCUCUCCCUAUGUAUAGCUGUGUCUCCAUCUCCAUCUCUUUCUCUCUCUCUCUCUCUCUCUCCCUAUGUAUAGCUGUGUCUCCAUCUCCAUCUCUCUCUCUCUCUCUCUCUCUCACUCCCUAUGUAUAGCUGUGUCUCCAUCUCCAUCUCUCUCUCUCUCUCUCUCUCACUCCCUAUGUAUAGCUGUGUCUCCAUCUCCAUCUCUUUCUCUCUCUCUCUCUCUCUCUCUCUCUCUAUGUAUAGCUAUGUAUAGCUGUGUCUCCAUCUCCAUCUCUCUCUCUCUCUCUCUCCCUAUGUAUAGCUGUGUCUCCAUCUCCAUCUCUUUCUCUCUCUCUCUCUCUCUCACUCUCUAUCUGUGUCUCCAUCUCCAUCUCUCUCUCUCUCUCUCUAUGUAUAGCUGUGUCUCUCCAUCUCCAUCUCUUUCUCUCUCUCUCUCUCUCUCACUCCCUAUGUAUAGCUGUGUCUCCAUCUCCAUCUCUUUCUCUCUCUCUCUCUCUCUCACUCCCUAUGUAUAGCUGUGUCUCCAUCUCCAUCUCUCUCUCUCUCUCUCUCUCUCUCACUCCCUAUGUAUAGCUGUGUCUCCAUCUCCAUCUCUCUCUCUCUCACUCUCUAUGUAUAGCUGUGUCUCCAUCUCCAUCUCUUUCUCUCUCUCUCUCUCUCUCACUCCCUAUGUAUAGCUGUGUCUCUCCAUCUCCAUCUCUCUCUCUCUCUCUCUCUCACUAUCUGUCUCUCUCUCUCUAUUGCUCUCUCUCUCCCCUUCUAUCAUUCUCUCUCUAUCGCUCUCUCUCCCCCUCUGUCUGUCAUUAUCUCUCUAUCACUCUCUCUGUAUAGCUGUCUCUCAAUCUCUCUCUCUCGCUCUCUUUCUCUCUCUCCAUCUCUCUCUCUCUGUCAUUCUCACUCUCUCUCCCCCUCUGUCAUUUUCUCUCUCUCUCUAUCACUCUCUCCCCCUCUAUCAUUCUCUCUCUAUCGCUCGCUCUCUCUCUCUCCCUCUCUCUAUCGCUCUCUCUCCCCCUCUCUCUGUCAUUCUCUCUCUAUCGCUCUCUCCCCCUCUCUCUGUCCCAGGAGAUUAUGACACUGCAGUGUGUAUGACAGUGCCCGCAGUGUGUGUGUGUGUGUGUUUGUUUGUUAAUGUGUACAGUACACUGAAUGUGUGUGUGUGUUUAUGAGGGUGUGUGCGUAAAUGGGUUAAUCUGAGUCAAAAGGGGAAAUUAAUGUCAUCAUCUUUAAAGCAAAUGAACUCUGUCACCACCGGGGUGAGUUUUGGGGUUCAGUGUGAGGUGAUAAUCUUAGCCUGACGCCUCUUGAUACAUUACAACAGGACCAAAGCAUGUGGAUAUAAAAUGAGUUAGAUUGGCUGUGUUGUCAUGUUAUAUAUCCUGUACUGGGUUCAGGUUGCACAUUGCCUCUUGACGCCUUUGCACUGUCAAUGGCUCCGUCUAUGUCUUGCAAUGUAUGUGCUCAUUUGGCUCUAUGCCAUGGUUUCAACGUCCACGUGUGAAAGUUGUGGAGCGCAAGAAAUGCAAAGCUAAUUCCCGUAAAAGGCCAUAGAGAGAGUGAACUGAGUGACCUUGCUGUGGGGUGACCAUAGAGAGAACCUGGGGCGCAGCUAAUAUUUUCUCGGAUAAACACUCCAAACAGCCUACCCGUCCGCUCAGAGGUGUCCACAUGGUCCUAAAGCACACCGCUUCCUCGUUUUGUAUCACAUUCCAAAGAUACAACUAGGGGG